UACGGAGGGUGCGAGCGUUGUCCGGAAUCAUUGGGCGUAAAGGGCGCGUAGGUGGCGGGACAAGCGUGCGGUGAAAGCUCGGGGCUCAACCCCGAGUCGGCCGUGCGAACUGUUUUGCUUGAGCACUGUAGAGGCAGGCGGAAUUCCGGGUGUAGCGGUGGAAUGCGUAGAGAUCCGGAAGAACACCGGUGGCGAAGGCGGCCUGCUGGGCAGUUGCUGACACUGAGGCGCGACAGCGUGGGGAGCAAACAGG
rnacentral:rRNA from 1 species